rnacentral:rRNA from 1 species
UACGAGUGCCCGAGCGUUAUCCGGAAUCAUUGGGCGUAAAGGGUGUGUAGGCGGUUGUGUUAGUCCUGUGUUAAAAAUCCCGGCUCAACCGGGAAAGUGCAUAGGAAACGGCACAACUAGAGGAUGCGAGAGGUGAAUGGAACUCAUAGUGUAGGGGUGAAAUCCGUUGAUAUUAUGGGGAACACCAAAUGCGAAGGCAAUUCACUGGCGCAUUCCUGACGCUGAAACACGAAAGCGUGGGUAGCGAAUGGG